GUGGGGGCGAGCACCGAGCGGAGCGCGGAGGCGUGUGCGGGUCCGAGAUUGCCGGAGCGCUCCUUCGGCGGCGGCGGCGCUCCCGGGAAACUUGAUGGAAACGGACUGUCAUCCCUGGGGAGAUGCUUCCACCUUCUCCAUAACCACCAUUUCAGUGCUGGGAAACCAUGAUCAGAUCCAGCUGAGACUUCUCUUCUCCAGGCUGAACACAGCCAGUUCCUUCAGUCUUGCUUCCCAUGGCAAGUUCAUAUUUAAACAUCUCUGUGGCCCUCCAUAGGAACCCCUCCAAUUUUUCAGUGCCUCUUUUGAACUGGGGAAGACCACAGCUGGGGUCAGUCCUCCAGAAAUAGACCCACAAGGGCCAAAUAGAGUGGAAUAAUGGCAUCCCUUGAUCUCCUGGAUAUGGUCUUCCCCCCCCCCCCCCCUUCCGGUUUAAAGUAGAUAUCAUUUCAAUUUCCAAAGCAUGAUUGAAUCACAAUUGCUGUUAAGUCAAAAUCCACUGUUAGGUCGUUUUUAACAGCAUGUGUUGUCUCCAUAGUGGCUGCAAGAUCCAGCUAGGACUCUCACAGAUAAAAGUAAUCUAUUGGGGCAGUUGCAAACAUUGUACCAGCCUCUCAGCCAGACUUUUUGUCAGAAAUCAUGAACCCCAUGGCAGUCAGCAGCAUGGGAUAUGCCACUACCAGAGUUGCUACAGUUCACUGUUAAAUUUAUUAACUUAAACUGCCAGUGACAAUACAUAUGUGCUAAUAUUAUCAUAUGUUAAUAACCAAGGCCUGGGCAACUCGAGAGUGCCCAAUGUCUGUGGUGCAGCUGAGGAGGAGAAGUAAGGCAACAUAAGGCAGUUUAUAAUUAUAAUGAUACUGCAAUCAAGCAGCAUAACAGCUAGACCACUGAAAUGUACUCUGGGCCAUGUCUAGCUUCUGGUUUGUACUACUAAAGAAACCCUGGCAGAGAGAAACCACACUGAAAUAGUUUCAUUAUUUCACUAUGAUAGAUACUUUUAUACUGGUCUAAAGAUGUCUCCUGCAGGAGUGCAGGACAGGACUCCGUGGCUGUGUGAACACCACUGGGCUGUUGCUGUAUAUUUCUGCUGUUAAUAUAGCUUCCUCGGGCUCCUGCGAGUAUAGACAUUAAAAAUGGAUAAAGUAAGGUUCAUGUUUAACACAUGCAUAUAAGCAAGCAAACAAACACUUUCACAGAUGUAUUCUUUUUAUUCGUUCUCUUUGCAGCAUUAUGAAACCCAUGAUUUCUGCCAGCAGCAAACUUGUUGUGAGCUUUACUCUCACCAGAAAGCUCUCAGUCUGUCAGUGUGAAGUGGAGAAAUGCGGAGAGUCCAAUGGUCCCAAAGUGGUCCAUCAGUAUCAAAAAGAUUCCCAAACUGAAUGAGGGUCAGGCAGUAAGUCUCAAUGACUUCCCAAGUGGAUGUUUAAGUAAACAAGGAGCUAAACUGCUGGGCUGGUUGUUGAAGUAAUGCUUUGGCUUUUCGCAGAGAAAUCAAUAGAUGCAAAUCACAUGGAUACAGCCAUAUAGUAACCAUCUGCUUUUAAUAAAACACACAAAGAUAGGAAGCGCACACACUUCUGUUCGAGGCAUUUACUGACAGGCACCCAGCCUGGGCAUGACCAGAAGAGGUACCACCUCAACUCUUCUGCUACAAGUGGUCCUUUGGACACAGUGCAAGGCCAUGAACUUCAUGUCUGGUUUCUGGGAGAAAGCACUCGGAAGUUUGCAUUCUGGGUCCAGCACCCAGAUGUGUUAAGAGUUGCUUAUCUAGUUGCUUACUGUCUGAAAAGAUGGCUGAAUAUAGGCAGGGAAAUGUACUUUUCCUUUAAUCUCAUUCAAAGGACAGACUGAAACAGCUCUGCUGAACUUUUUGAAAGGGUUCAGAUCAACCCUAGGGCUGAGACAUGGCAUGGAAAACUGAGCAGCUGCAGUUAAAAAGCCCUGAAACCCACAACACUCAGAGAAGGCAAGGCUAGAUGGGUCUUUGAGCAGUCUGAUCUAGUGAAAGAUGUGUCUGCCUAUGGCGGGGCGGGUUGUUGGAUUAGAUGAUCUUUAAGGCCCCUUCCAACCCAAAUGAUUCUAUGAUCUAGAGUAGACUUCAUUGGGCGGCUCAAGUGUUGGCUCCUCAUGUUAUAAAUGAGUGGAUUUUGCAAAAGGCCGAUGCAGGGUUUAGCAGAGAAGGGAAGUCCAGAAGAGUGUCACUAGUGCAGGGUGUGCAAUGGUGAUAUCAAGUAGUGUCUUUCUACCCGUUUCUACAGCUCGAUUGCUGUGGGCUGUUCUGCCCUCUAGUGCCUGCAGCGACAGCUCCCUCUCUCUUCUCUCGGUUCCCCCUGUGCGUGCAGCACACACACACCCAGGAGCUGCAGACCGCCCCCCCACCCCCCCUUGCCACUCUGGGUGCAGAGCUGGCCACCCUUCGGCCUUACCUGCCUGCCGAGGACAGCUCCUGCUGGGGACACUGACCCAGCAAGGAAACGGUGUUGCUGCAAUGUAGCACAGAUGUACUUUUGUGAGGUGGACUGUCCCACUUGAGGAGUUGGCCUGUGAACCGACAGAUACGCUAGGAAGUGCAGGCACAUUUUGUCAGUCAUGUCUGGUACCAUUUCCAGUAAACCAUCAGGAAAGGACGAUUACAAAGAAAACCGAGACUGGACUUAGCAUGUGGCUCCAGCCCCUCACCUGAGUUCCAGGAGUCAGGGACUUAACGAGGAUUUUGCACUGGCAGAAAUUCCUAGUGGGACUCUUUGAACUUGAAAAGCUUGAGGAACAACUGCUUUUGCUCUAUUACCUGCUGAGAUGCCCAUUCAAGUUUGUGAGGAAAGACUAAUAUGAGUGAAAAGCAAUUUAUCUAACUGCUGUAGUAAAGUAAGGAAAUUUUGUUCCAAGAACAUUAUCAAAGCACUUGCAAACGUUAUUAUGAUGCUCUCAAUGUCCUUCAAGCACAGGGUGUGGGACAGCAGUAUUUUUCAACAGUAAAUCUCACAGUUUUUUGAUGUAUUGGAUUGUGUAGAAGGGGAUAGUAUUUCCCUGCCAUUCAUUGCACUAGUAACUUAUUUUGAUUUUUACAGCCUGUAAUCAACAAUGCCACAUAUGGAAAACAUGUUUUAAUGCUUUACUGUUGCUUAGGUUCCUCUUUCAGCAUGGGUACGGCACGAUACUUGUAAAUAGAGAGGAAUUAAUUUCUUCUUUCUGAGCCAUUCAUCUCCAUUUACUUGAUGACUUGCCUGUUUGUUACUCAGUUUCCAAAUCCUGUGUUCCUGCUUAAUCUGAUUCUUCCAGCUGGGAAGAGAUGGGAUCUGAAGGCUGUUCCUCAGCAACAGGUUGGUCAGUCUCUUCUUUCUCUGUGACUGGUUGGUCAGCAGCAUCUGCCUCACCAGACACCUGGGGUGCUGCAUCUGGUGGCCUGGGCUCUUCAGCAAGUGCUUCUGUCUGAUCAGGCAGAGGCUGACAGCUAAAUGCAUCUAAGCGUUUUUCAACCACUGUACGAAUCAAGGCUGAAACAGAAAGCCACCAUUAACAAACAUGGAGGAAAACCCCUAUAAUUUAACAUUUUUUAUAUAUUACUGACCUGUAACUUCUUAAACAGAGAAAGAACCCUGAAGUAACACUAAAAAUGAAAGAAUAUUUAAGUGAGACAAAACCAUCCCUGCUGCUGUAGCUAAAUGAUUGGUUUACACUCAAUGCAGUGAUUUGGAAAGGGUGCAAUAUUGGAAAUUUUUGUUGAUUUCCUCACAUUUGCUUCUCACUCACAGAGCAGGUCACCCCAUCAGGAACAAGGACUAGCCAGGUUACACAUAAGGUGAUGUUUUGGGCAGUCUUCAUUCAAAUAGGUUAAAAAUGGAUCCUUAGAGACUUUUCUCCCUGUUUCUCCUUAAGAGGGGAAAGAAGCCAUGAACUGUCUCAGCUGAGGCUGUGUUUGCCUGUACAAAAUUUGGGGGAUAUUCCUUUUGCAGAGAUGAUGUUUACUCAACAGUGGGUAACUGCGUAAAAGUCAGGAAAUACAGAGGGUAAAUAGCUGCUGACAUUACUUAUUGGCCUGUGCCAAGUGCUCUGUAUAUCUCAGAACUGGAGCAAGACUAUGAUAUCUAGUUAAACAAUUAAACAGAUUUAACAGGAAUGUGAUAGAUGUUCUCAUCAACAGUGUAUCCUGCAACAACAUUAUCCUAAGGAUGUUUUAAUUCAGUAGUCACAUACAAUAUAUUUUUUAUUAAAAGAAAUUUCCUUCCCCUCCUGAAGAGCUAUGUGAAGAAGUGAUCCUUGAAUGUACAUACUACCACAUAUAUCAGGAUAAAAAACCUAACAGACCAGCUGUAAUUGUCCAAAUCAUACUAUAUCUUAACAAAUAAAAUUCAGGGUCCCAGUUAAACUGAAAAUAAAUCUAAAGGAAGCAAACACAAUUUUAAUUAAAACUCAAAAUCCCAGCAAGAGGAAAACUAUAGGAAUGAGGAAGAUGUAAUGCAAGUGUAAAAAGUGGUUUGAUCUAGGAGCACUCCAGUGGAUAUACAUACAUCAUAAUUUUGUGAUUCUACACAAGAGAGAGUUCAGAUUGUUCAGGUGUUUCAACUACAGCCUCUGAAGACCGAAUAAUAAAAGAACCCAAAUACUUAGCUUGAACUAGCCCCCAAAAAAGACUGAUAUUUCAAUCUAUUUCAAAAGCAAGGACAAGAUUAUUGACUAUAGCAGGAGGUAAGCCCUUGUUUUGAUGAAAAAUGUUGGUCACCUCACUUCUCAGUCAAUCAUGGCCUAUGACUCUCCUCCUUUCAUAUAGGAGUGCUGGGAGCUUACACAAAUCAAUUAAGAGACUUUCAUGGUAUACAUGUGGCAGUACACUGGAUGGGCUUGUCUGUUCCCACUGGCAUAAUCAGGCACACUACAGAGAACAUAACAGCAAUGGUAGCUGUGUAACAGAGGAAGUAGAAGCUUUAUAGCAGAAAAAAAGAAUUGUGUUCUUUAACCAUUCUCUUCCUGACACAUGUUGUAUCUCCCAGCAUUAACACAUCUCAAACAGUAUAAAGCCAGGAGAGAGUGAACAGUGCAGCAUGACUGACACUCCUAUUAUUUCAGAUGAAAAUCAGUUACCUAGUUGUAUGUAGUAGUAGUUUUCCAACAUUAAAACAUUUUAAUAUAGUAAAAAAAAAAAACCAAAAAAAACCCUAAACACAAAGGUACUUGGAGUUCUUGCUAAAAUGACACCUCCUGCCUUAAUCCACAGUGACGAUGUAAAUGUGGUAUUUGUUCUAACCAGGAAAAAAGCAAUCAAGAACCUCAAGCAGCCCAGAUUACAUUACAGGAUUUGCUAACUUACAGUCAAGCAUUGUCCUCCCCAGAACCUUCUUCUGUAGUGUUUCUUCCACUUCUGACAUCAGCCAUGGAAGGAAUUUUGUCUCAAUAUCUGCAAGAAUUUAGCAGGAAGAAAGAAAGAGAAAAUGCCAUUUUAUUAAGGAUGACUGACAGGACUUGGGGGCUGUUUUUUAUUUGCUGCAACAAUUAAGGGAUGAACCCCCCUGCCAGAAAACACCUGAUUGUAAGAGUCAGAUAAAAUCUCUUGAGUGUUGUAUGGUUUCUUAUCUCCAGCCUCUCUUACUGAGUUCAUCAUUAUGGACUCUGACCAGAGUCCUCUCAACUGCAGUGAUUUUCAAAGAGGUCUGGCACCCUUGAAGGGCUAGCACAGUUGAGAUAUACAGUCAUGUUCUAGUGAGAUCCAAAUAACUAUCCUGAACAAGUCAGGAGAAUAACACUUCCUGCCUUGCUUUCAAAGACAUUUGGCGUGUGGUCUGCUGAAAGCAUUUGUUCCCUCUGACUAAAGAGCUCUUGCUUACCCAUGUACUUCUCAAAUCAUACUCUUUGUAUGCUGUGGUCCCAAAGCCUGCCCUGGUUGCAAAAUACACUCAGUUUCUGCAUUAACCCCAUGACUUAUUCUGGAGAGAGUGUAGCUGUUCCCAAGCCGUGGUCUGCGCCCAUGUGGAGCCUGGUGAAGUGGGGUGCAGCAAGGUAGCCCAUAAGAAAUGCUGGUGAUUCUAAAGGCUUGGAGAUCACUGAUGUACAAGUCCAAAAUUAUUUUCAGGGCCUAAUUCUAAUUGACUAAUUUCUCCCUUGCUCUGAUAAUCAUUAAAAAAUAUUCAGAAUGACAUACUGAUUUCUUUGUCUGUUCUAUCAAAACAUAUUUACUUCAAUUUGGAUAUCUCUCUCUUUCUCUCUACUGUACCAAUCCUAACCACUCAUUUAUAUCUGUCCAAUUCCAAAGCAGAUCUUUUCACUGUCACACUGUCAGCUCUUGCUUAUUCUUGACUACUUGUACAGAUGACCAAUAAUAUUUGUUUGUGUUAAAACUAUGAAUUCAGCCACAAAUGUAAAUUAAUAAAGUCUUAUGACAUUAUUCUAAAUAAUAGAAGAAUAUGCUAUGUUUUAUGGUUGUUUUGAGCUUUAUAUUACUUAGUUCAUAUAUUUUUAAAAAACAAAUACAAACCUCUUUCUAUAGGGUCAUAAAAAAAUCCACUGUCAUAAAGAUUGCUGAAGACUGAGGGAAUAAGGUCAGCCAGGUAACGCUUAGCAAAUGCCCGAGCUGCAAUUUUCUCCGUGGUCUCUUUCUGCUUCCGCAGCUUUUCCAAGUGCUCGAGUCUGCGACGUUCCUGUCAAGGUAAUUAUGCAUGUGAAACUUAGAGGCCUUUAGCUGUUACUUCUUUGAUCUAGACUUUGAAGAAUUAUCACAGUGCGAGUCUCUUAAAUUGCAAAGAUAAUCAAAACUGCAGAUAAUCACAGUCUCUACCUGGUAUUUGCAGCCUCUGCCUUCCACAAAAAGUCCUCAUAUGAAAGAGUGCUUCAAAGCAAGCUUGUACUCAAUCUAUGAAGUAUUAAAAUGCCCAAAAAUUACAGAGAAACACACUUCUGUGUUCUGUGGUCCACCUUUUCUGAUUUUGGGAAGUCUGUAAAAUAAGGGCUUCACAGCUGGCCAAAUGAAACCCUUCUCUGAUGCCUUAGUAUACAUUGAUCUCAUGCCUUCUUGCUUUAUUAUUGCAGAUCAAGCUGAUCAUUGGCCUUAGAAUGAGAUGAAGUUGGAUAGUGUUUCCUGAACUUUUCAUCUUUCCAAUAUUCUAUCCUAUUUGAUGAUUAAAAAGAUUAAAACUCAAAUUGGUCCAGGAAAACAUUAAAAACCCCAAUUAUACAAGACUGAUGAAUAGUGAGUAAGACUUGCCUUUUCUGUUUAUUCCUAUUUACCAAAUAUUAAUAAUAUAGCAUAAUACUUGGAGAUCUUGAGAUGUACGUGUGCACAUAGAGUAGUGCAUGCAUUGGGUGUGAAAGUCUAGGAAGUGUCUCUCUUACUUUUGAGCACUCUGACUAUUAAUUUAGAAGUUAUUAUAAUGAAAAGAUUUAAGAAACAGCUGCACCGGGUACAGAAUAAAAAGCUGUUGGUCUGGUCUCUUGAUCAGAUGUCCAAGUAUACCAGGUCACUCAAGCGUGACUGCUCCAAAUAAACACAACAGUAUGAUGGUGGUGUAUGAGAGCACGUGGCAGAGUGCAGCUCACCAAAAUGCUAGGAGGAAUAUCAAAGUUAACAGUGCCCUUUGGGGUAUAUCCAGCUUAUCUCACAGCUUGUCAUUCAGUACUGGAAAUGUUUUUCUCCCUUCUGAUGAGCAUUCAGACUGUUUUGCUGUUAGGCAGGAAGUCCUACCUUCUCCUCUCUGAUACGCCUGUCCUGCUCUUCCAGGCGCUGUAAUUCAGCAAACUCUGCGUUACGCAGCUCUAUAAAGGCACGCUGAUGUGCCCGCAGCUGGGCCAGCUCUUCUUCCUCCAUGACUUCCAGCAAAGCCUGCUCAACUGUUUUCCCAAUCAGCACUUCCAGGAUUGGCUUAACUUCAAUGUCAAAGUCAAACAACUGAGGAUAAGAAUCACGGAAACAGAGAUAAAUGUCCCUUCAUCACAACUGCUCUUAACAAGUAUUGGCAAGGAGAACAGGAGGCUGAACAAAGCCCUUGUGCUGAAGGUAGGCCAGAGAAGUGCAGGUGGGGCCAGUGUCAGCUGAGGCAGAAAGAAGCAUGAGUGCAGCUGGGAGGUAAGUGAUGAGUGGACUGGAGUGAGAUACACACACCCUACCACAGCCACUGUUGGGACUGCCAGGGACAAGCUGAGCAUUCACUUGGACCCUGUUUCUAUGUUCCCCACCUGUUCUUGAGCUGGACACGUUUUACAGAAGAGCGCAUUUUUCAGCACUGUAAUUCUUAGCUGAAAGCAGCAGAACCAGUGCAUAUGGAGAAGUAUCUUUCUUAAUUUUGCACCUAACAUCAAAGCAGACAUUGGAAAGUUGGGUUGGGUUUUGGUUUUUGGUUUUGGUUUUUUUUUGCAUGUUCUGUGAGGAUUAGUUCCUUUCUGUUUCUACUUCAAUUUUGCAUCAGAAAUGUGUUUUGCAUGGGAGACAUACUUCAACAGCACUUUGUGGACUGACUUUGCUUCAUACCUCUCCUUCUUCUAUUUGCGUAGCUAUAUCUUUUCCCGUUUUGGCUGGUAUGAAGAGUGGAGUAGGUGGUCUGUCCAAAAAUUCAUCUGUUUGACACUCUCCAUCAACCUCUACUAUACGAUCACAAAUCUCUUCCAGAUACAGUUCUAGAAACAAAAGCACAUUGAAUACUCAAAGCUGGAUUCUUUUUAUUUUAAGUCUAAACUAUUUUGAUGACUCUACACUGUGAAUUAUAUCCAAAGAGUCAAAUAAAAUGUCUUAUAUAGAGUUAAAAAAAAAAAAAAGGCAGCUCAAAUUAAAACAUAGAUGAGUUUGCUGCAUAGGCCACCUGAUGCUAUGCUCCCUGUAAUGUCAGGUGCACUUCAUGGAAGUGAUCCCCAAAAAGGGUAGUUCACUUGAAGCAAAAUUUUUUAAACCUCUCAAUUUUAAGCAUAUAUGAAACUUCUCUGAUGAUCCUGGAAAAGGAAAGAAUAAAUAAAGAAGUCUUGACUAGCGUUCAAGAAUGUACACUGAAAACUGCAAAACAGACCUUCUGGGAAAAUGUCACUAAUUAGACAAGUUUAUAAAGGGUUAUAAUGGAAAGGAUUAUAGAACCUCUGAUUCUAGCAUUCUAUGAUUUUAAACUUAUCCCUGUGUGAUUCUACCAACUUCAUCAUCAGCUUAGCAAGUGAAUAUAGAUCAGCAAGCUUUAUUUUCAGAUGCAUAUUAAAAAAAAAAAAGCCUUUUACCUGUUUGCACAUAAACAUGCUCUCUGCCUUCCACAGGCUCUGGUGUUCCUGGUCGAAUUGGCUCUUUUGCACGCUUUCUUGCCAGUGCUCUUUUCUGUGCACCCUUCUGCUUUUGAACCUCAGGGGGAUUGGGUUGGGUACUCUGAGCAGGGAUGAGGAAGGAAAAAAACCACAAAACUGUGUACUUGAAAAUGAUAUUUCAUUCUUUCUACAGGAAAUUGAAGAUUGCUGUUUGAUUUGACUGCCAGCAAUCUAGCAUUUUGGAUUUACUUUUCUGGGUCCUGACUCUAAAUUUUUGGUUGACUUAAAGACUGUAGGGCAUGAAACUAAUAAAAUAGGCUAGCUGCCUACAGGCACAUACUAAUGGCAUCUCACAGUAA